rnacentral:misc_RNA from 1 species
AACGCACCUUGCACUCCUUGGUAUUCCGAGGAGUAUGCUUGUUUGAGAGUAAUGUAAUCAUCAAUCCUCCUUUACUUUUGUGAAGUUGGCUUGGAUUUGGGGAUUGCUGGCCUUUCAUUAAGGUCCUGGCUUCCCUUGAAUGCAUUAGUUGAAUCAAGUUACAACGUUACGUGUGGUGUGAUAAUAUCUUCACUGCAUAGUUGUAAUGAAGUUUGGCUUCUAACAGUCCUUCACUGGACAAUACUUUGAACAAUGUACCUCAAAUCAAGUAGGACUACCCGCUGAACUUAA